rnacentral:rRNA from 1 species
UAGGGAAUCUUCGGCAAUGGACGAAAGUCUGACCGAGCAACGCCGCGUGAGUGAAGAAGGUUUUCGGAUCGUAAAACUCUGUUGUUAGAGAAGAACAAGGACGUUAGUAACUGAACGUCCCCUGACGGUAUCUAACCAGAAAGCCACGGCUAACUACGUGCCAGCAGCCGCGGUAAUACGUAGGUGGCAAGCGUUGUCCGGAUUUAUUGGGCGUAAAGCGAGCGCAGGCGGUUUCUUAAGUCUGAUGUGAAAGCCCCCGGCUCAACCGGGGAGGGUCAUUGGAAACUGGGAGACUUGAGGGCAGAAGGGGAGAGUGGAAUUGCAUGUGUAGCGGUGAAAUGCGUAGAUAAAUGGAGGAACACCAGUGGCGAAGGCGGCUGUCUUGUCUGUAACUGACGCUGAGGAUCGAAAGCGUGGGGAGCAAACAGG